GGCGCAGGGGCGGCUCUCGGCAGGGGCGGGCGGAGCGGCCCCGGGCCACAGAGGCCCACACCGGGCAGGGGGAGCGUGAGGCCAGGGAGCCAGCUCCAGCUGAAGGGGUCUGCGAUGGUGUCCAAACCAGGGCUCCCUGGGAGCAUGUGUACAACCAAGGAUCCACCAUGCCUGAAAAAAGUUUGGCCCCUUGCCCCUGGCUGCGGGGCCCUGGCACGACUUGCCCAGUAAGCGAUUCUCUGUGUGCCUGAGGGGGUUUGGGCCAUGCGCUGUUGUCCCUGCUAACAGCAUGAUUUCAGGGCAGCCACAGAAGAGGUCAGCCAUGUCUACAAGAUCACGACCCUACAGAGCUCGAUCCACCAAGGCUGGGGGCGCACCCCUGGUGGCAGGACUUCACGCUUGGUGUCGCACCAUGCUGCUGGGAAAAUUCAGCACAGUCUGCAUGACUCUGCCGGGAGGGGACAGCUGGAGCUCACACCUCCUGUCUCCUGAGCCCUGCCCUGUAGACUUGUUCCUGUGGCUGACUUUAAAGUGAGUCUUUUCACCAGAAUGAACCAGAUCCAUGAGUCUAACAGCCCUUCUGGUCCCUCCAGCAAGGCCCUGAAACAGAACAUCUUGUGGACCCCCCAGCUAUAAUCUCACAGGCUUGCAGAUGUAUGCUUGUGCAUCUCUUCCCUCCGUAAGCCACGGACUUCCCAAAGACCAGGACCAUGCACGGUCCAUUCUCAGGACCCAGCACCCCACUCAGCUUCUGGCAGCUGAGAACAGGCCUCAGUGCAUGCGGGGGCACGAGCGCAAACACAUGCAGUGCUUCAGCUGUCUUUGCUUCUCUGUCUCCCAGGGACUCUACGUCCACUUCUUUGUGGGAGACUUUGAUUCCUGGAAGGAGGAAGAGGAAGCUUCCCUGGGAAUCUGGUGCAACUUUGGACAAAUUACUCAACUGCUCUGUGCCUCAGUCUCUUUACCAGUCAAAUGGGCGAAACAUCCGUCAACCUAGACUUGUGAAGUUGGAAUGUGGCCACAUGUGGCAAAGCGGCACAGGGCUGGGGCUUAGGCACCAGCAUUCCUUUGCUGUUCAUGUCAGUGCUUGUUCCUGUUCCUGCCCCAGGGAGCCCUCCUAGGGCUAGC